GACGAACGUUGGCGGCGUGCUUAAUACAUGCAAGUCAACUGAAGCAGUGGUAGCAAUAUCGCUGUGGAGGUGGCGCACGGGUGAGUAACACGUAGGUAAUCUGCCUUCAGGUCUGGCAUAACUCCGGGAAACCGGGGCUAAUAGCAGAUGAUGCAGCGGCUCGACAUCGAGACAGUUGUUAAAGCUAUGGCGCCUGAAGAUGAGCCUGCGUCUGAUUAGCUAGUUGGCGGGGUAACGGCCCACCAAGGCAACGAUCAGUAGCUGGUCUGAGAGGAUGAUCAGACACACUGGAACUGAGACACGGUCCAGACUACUACGGGAGGCAGCAGUAAGGAAUAUUGCUCAAUGGGAGAAAUCCUGAAGCAGCAACGCCGCGUGAGGGACGAAGGGCUUUUGCUUGUAAACCUCUGUAGUGAGAGAAAAAAAUCCCAAUCUUUGGGACAUGAUGGUAUCUCAAAAGUAAGCCCCGGCUAACUACGUG
rnacentral:rRNA from 1 species